GACCCUGUAGCUUAACGGUAAGAGCGCACCUUUCCACCAAAUUCAUGUUCCUGGUGAAGUCCGAGGUUCGAAUCCCGGCGAGUCCA
rnacentral:tRNA from 1 species